AUCCUCUAACAGAUCAAAAAAGUCAUCCUAAUGGAGUUGAGCAGUCAUUUUUCCCUCAGAGAGAAGUACUCCAAUUAACCUAUGAAACUACAGCCGCCGUAGGAAGAUGUGAAUGUUUACGCGAAUUAGCUCGUGAGGAAGUUGAUAUUCCGAUAACUUGGAGAUGACAACAAAUACUGUGAACGAUAGAAUGCACAAAGUCAGCCCCACUAAAUGACAAAAAGGGGUGAGGAACAUUUAUCAAUACUGCUUCAUUUCUAAGACUUUUUAAAACCUCCUCAAAAUGUUUUUAAACAUAGGAUGCUGUUGUUUUGUUCUUUUUCCGGCUGCAAGGAAAGUUCAAGUUAACAAGCUCAGAAUACCUGGCUUGUAGGCCCUGGGACUAGUGUUCCAGAAGUCCUGAUAACUUACGUAAAGCUAUUUAUUUUCUCAUGCAGUCAAUCUUUAGUGUUUAUUAAAGCUUGAAAGUAUAAUACUUA